rnacentral:rRNA from 1 species
CGUAACUAUAACGGUCCUAAGGUAGCGAAAUUCCUUGUCGGGUAAGUUCCGACCUGCACGAAUGGCGUAAUGAUGGCCAGGCUGUCUCCACCCGAGACUCAGUGAAAUUGAACUCGCUGUGAAGAUGCAGUGUACCCGCGGCAAGACGGAAAGACCCCGUGAACCUUUACUAUAGCUUGACACUGAACAUUGAGCCUUGAUGUGUAGGAUAGGUGGGAGGCUUUGAAGUGUGGACGCCAGUCUGCAUGGAGCCGACCUUGAAAUACCACCCUUUAAUGUUUGAUGUUCUAACGUUGACCCGUAAUCCGGGUUGCGGACAGUGUCUGGUGGGUAGUUUGACUGGGGCGGUCUCCUCCUAAAGAGUAACGGAGGAGCACGAAGGUUGGCUAAUCCUGGUCGGACAUCAGGAGGUUAGUGCAAUGGCAUAAGCCAGCUUGACUGCGAGCGUGACGGCGCGAGCAGGUGCGAAAGCAGGUCAUAGUGAUCCGGUGGUUCUGAAUGGAAGGGCCAUCGCUCAACGGAUAAAAGGUACUCCGGGGAUAACAGGCUGAUACCGCCCAAGAGUUCAUAUCGACGGCGGUGUUUGGCACCUCGAUGUCGGCUCAUCACAUCCUGGGGCUGAAGUAGGUCCCAAGGGUAUGGCUGUUCGCCAUUUAAAGUGGUACGCGAGCUGGGUUUAGAACGUCGUGAGACAGUUCGGUCCCUAUCUGCCGUGGGCGCUGGAGAACUGAGGGGGGCUGCUCCUAGUACGAGAGGACCGGAGUGGACGCAUCACUGGUGUUCGGGUUGUCAUGCCAAUGGCACUGCCCGGUAGCUAAAUGCGGAAGAGAUAAGUGCUGAAAGCAUCUAAGCACGAAACUUGCCCCGAGAUGAGUUCUCCCUGACUCCUUGAGAGUCCUGAAGGAACGUUGAAGACGACGACGUUGAUAGGCCGGGUGUGUAAGCGCAGCGAUGCGUUGAGCUAACCGGUACUAAUGAACCGUGAGG